AGAGUUUGAUCCUGGCUCAGGAUGAACGCUAGCUACAGGCUUAACACAUGCAAGUCGAGGGGCAGCAUUUCAGUUUGCUUGCAAACUGGAGAUGGCGACCGGCGCACGGGUGAGUAACACGUAUCCAACCUGCCGAUAACUCGGGGAUAGCCUUUCGAAAGAAAGAUUAAUACCCGAUGGCAUAAUUAGACCGCAUGGUCUUAUUAUUAAAGAAUUUCGGUUAUCGAUGGGGAUGCGUUCCAUUAGGCAGUUGGUGAGGUAACGGCUCACCAAACCUUCGAUGGAUAGGGGUUCUGAGAGGAAGGUCCCCCACAUUGGAACUGAGACACGGUCCAAACUCCUACGGGAGGCAGCAGUGAGGAAUAUUGGUCAAUGGACGAGAGUCUGAACCAGCCAAGUAGCGUGAAGGAUGAAGGUUCUAUGGAUUGUAAACUUCUUUUAUACGGGAAUAAACGGAUCCACGUGUGGAUUUUUGCAUGUACCGUAUGAAUAAGGAUCGGCUAACUCCGUGCCAGCAGCCGCGGUAAUACGGAGGAUCCGAGCGUUAUCCGGAUUUAUUGGGUUUAAAGGGAGCGUAGAUGGGUUGUUAAGUCAGUUGUGAAAGUUUGCGGCUCAACCGUAAAAUUGCAAUUGAUACUGGCAGUCUUGAGUACAGUUGAGGUAGGCGGAAUUCGUGGUGUAGCGGUGAAAUGCUUAGAUAUCACGAAGAACUCCGAUUGCGAAGGCAGCUUACUAACCUGUAACUGACAUUGAUGCUCGAAAGUGUGGGUAUCAAACAGGAUUAGAUACCCUGGUAGUCCACACGGUAAACGAUGAAUACUCGCUGUAGGCGAUAUACAGUCUGCGGCCAAGCGAAAGCAUUAAGUAUUCCACCUGGGGAGUACGCCGGCAACGGUGAAACUCAAAGGAAUUGACGGGGGCCCGCACAAGCGGAGGAACAUGUGGUUUAAUUCGAUGAUACGCGAGGAACCUUACCCGGGCUUAAAUUGCAACCGAAUAUGGCGGAAACGCUAUAGCUAGCAAUAGCGGUUGUGAAGGUGCUGCAUGGUUGUCGUCAGCUCGUGCCGUGAGGUGUCGGCUUAAGUGCCAUAACGAGCGCAACCCUUGCCGAUAGUUACUAACAGGUUAUGCUGAGGACUCUGUCGGGACUGCCAUCGUAAGAUGUGAGGAAGGUGGGGAUGACGUCAAAUCAGCACGGCCCUUACGUCCGGGGCUACACACGUGUUACAAUGGGGGGUACAGAGGGCUGCUACCACGCAAGUGGAUGCCAAUCCCAAAAACCUCUCUCAGUUCGGAUUGAAGUCUGCAACCCGACUUCAUGAAGCUGGAUUCGCUAGUAAUCGCGCAUCAGCCACGGCGCGGUGAAUACGUUCCCGGGCCUUGCACACACCGCCCGUCAAG
rnacentral:rRNA from 1 species